rnacentral:rRNA from 1 species
CCUACGGGCGGCAGCAGUGGGGAAUAUUGGGCAAUGGAGGCAACUCUGACCCAGCAACGCCGCGUGAAUGAUGAAGGUCUUCGGAUUGUAAAGUUCUGUGAUGGGGGAUGAACACAAUGACGGUACCCCAAUAGCAAGCCACGGCUAACUACGUGCCAGCAGCCGCGGUAAUACGUAGGUGGCAAGCGUUAUCCGGAAUGACUGGGCGUAAAGGGUGCGGAGGUGGUUUAGUAAGUUGGCGGUGUAAUUCCGGGGCUCAACCUCGGCGCUACAGUCAAAACGAUUAGUCUUGAGUACAGGAGAGGUAAGUGGAAUUCCUAGUGUAGCGGUGGAAUGCGUAGAUAUAAGGAGGAACAUCAGGGGCGAAGGCGAAUGACUGGACUGUAACUGACGCUGAGGCACGAAAGCGUGGGGAGCAAACAGGAUUAGAUACCCUAGUAGUC